CCUUAAUCGUACAAGAAAGAAAAGCCCCAAAUUAUUUUGUUUCAGACGUAGAAAGAAAACUCUAGAAGAAAAAACCAAAACUCCUUAAUUUUUUAAGGCAAUACAAAUUAAGCACACAUUUGAAGCAAGAGAUAGAAGAACACAAAACAUUUACAUCAUCAAUGGAGCUCACCUCAAAGAGAAGCUCAGUUGCUGCACUAUCAAAGAAUCAAUUUAUAUCAUCAAUGGAGCUUCCAAAUCACUUAAAUCUAAUGAGAGAAUGGGUGAGAGAAUGGAUGAUGAGCUUCUGCAAAUAGCUAUGGAUCCAUAUAUGCGAUAUAGAUUGGCAUCACAAGACUGUAGAGAAUCAUAUACAAAUAUGUUGACAAAUGAUAUUAGUGAGAAGAAAACUCGAUGUCCUACACAAAUGUGUAAAAUUUGAGAAAACCAUGAUGAUGUGAAGAUAAAAAUUACAUGUAAUAAUUUUGGACAGUCCUGUGAUAAAAAUGCUGACCAACUUUCAAGCUUUUUUGGGACAUUAGUAAAAGAUGAAAAAAAAAUGCUCCAAUUAAUUAUAAAAGUUGGCAUAAGGUACCCCUUAAAUACAAAUAUGGAAUGUGGAAAAUCAUACAGGAAAAAUUUGACAUUCCUCUUGAUGCUAAGAUUUGGACUUUUAGAAUGUUUCGUAAGAAACUUCGAGAGUAGAAAUCAUUCCUUAAAAACACUUAUUAUUUGGAGAACUUAUCAUUUGAGGAGCAAAAAAAAUGUAAAGAUAAAAGAGUGUAUCAUGAUCAAUGGGAAGAAUUGAUCAAGUAUUGGCCUACAGAAAGUGCACAGAGCAAAAGUGCUAAACACAAAAGUAGUCGUGCAAUAAUCAUACAACUGGCAGGAAGAGUUUUGCACAACUUAGAGCAUUACAGAAAGUGGGUGGUGCGAGUACGCCAACGCGUGCAACUAUGGUAUGAUCAAAUUAUUCUUAAAUUAUGUAUUAUAUAUUGCUAGCUAGUUUAGUUCAAUCUUAAUUAACAUGUCUAUAAUGUGAAAUUAAUGAUAGUUACAAUUACAAGAGAUAGAAGAAAAGAAUGAGGAUUCAUCAAAAGAAAAGACUAUGAAUGAUUCACUUUCUAAAAUUAUGGGUGGGGAAAAACAUGGAUCAGUUCGCAUGUUUGGAUUCGGCGUCUGCCCAUCCGAUGUGUGGAAAGAUAAAUCAACUUGGAAAAGGAGUCAAAAUAAGUAUGUAGCUGCGCUGGAGUCAAAAGUAGAUGAUCUAUAAUCUCAACUUAUGUUGAACAACCAAAACAAUGACAAUGUCUACUGUACAUGUUAAAUAACUCAUUUUUUUUUUUUAAUAAUUUCUAAUAUUAACCCAAAUUUGUACUAACUAAAAUGAAUUUUUUGCUUGCAGACUUUAGAUCGUGGUGACAUUGCCACAUCUUCAAAUCUGGUUUAGUUUUAUUUUAUUUUGUUGAUUUUUAACUUACUAUUCUAUCAACUAUAUACUUGUUUUGUUAAUUUAUUGUGUAUAUAUGUAGGACAUAAAUGCUAUCACCUCACUUAAUAAAGAAACUAGACAUCAACUUUGGUUUUCAUCUCCUGCGUAUGAUACUCUUCUCAUUGAGGUUGGGGAAACAGUCAACAUUAAAAGUGUCACUAAUGAGCUUGAAACAAUUGCUAUUGGUAUUGUUUGCAGCAAAGAUCCAUCUAAAAAAGUUGGAGGAGAAGAACUUGGAUCCUUUUUUUUUUUUUUUUUUUUUUUCUGAAGUUAUUGUUAAAGUUCCUAUCAAGCCUAAUGAACUAUUGAUUAAACCAUAUAGAUAUAUAAAGACAAUCCGUGAUGCUGUUGGAGCGUCCAUUACAUGGCCAACAUCAUUUAUGGUAAAUUCAAUAUGAUUCUAGAAUAAUAGUCUACCAUUCAUUAAAUAUUACUUUAAA